rnacentral:misc_RNA from 1 species
CUUGGAGGGUGCUCUUGAUGAGGUUUGCAGUUGCCAAUAGAUUGCUUAUAGUGCUUCCUCAUUUUUUGCUCAUUUGUUUUGUUUUUAUCCUUAAGUGUGUCUGAUUUAUGUUUCUCAUAUUAUGCUCGAACAAUAUAGCUGCUGGCACUUCACACCUCCUUGAGGCCAUUUUAGUUUAUUUUCUUCCUGUGUGUGUAUGUUCAUGUGUCUGUUGUACUUACCUUAGAAUGCUUUUGAGAAUAAGAUAUAUUUUCUUUGAUAUUUUUGGAACAACAUUAGUUUUCCU